rnacentral:rRNA from 1 species
AUACGGAGGGGGUUAGCGUUGUUCGGAAUUACUGGGCGUAAAGCGUACGUAGGCGGAUCAGAAAGUUGGGGGUGAAAUCCCGGGGCUCAACCCCGGAACUGCCUCCAAAACUCCUGGUCUUGAGUUCGAGAGAGGUGAGUGGAAUUCCGAGUGUAGAGGUGAAAUUCGUAGAUAUUCGGAGGAACACCAGUGGCGAAGGCGGCUCACUGGCUCGAUACUGACGCUGAGGUACGAAAGUGUGGGGAGCAAACAGGAUUAGAAACCCUAGUAGUCC